UAGAUGCGAGAGUAGAGCAUAUCAAUAAGCGGAGGAAAAGAAACUAACUAGGAUUCCCUCAGUAACGGCGAGUGAAGCGGGAAGAGCUCAAAUUUGAAAUCUUCAAGGUUCUACCUUGACGAAUUGUAGUUUAUAGAAGUGUUUUCCUGUUAGUGAGUUUGGUAAAAGUUCUUUGGAAUAGGACAUCAUAGAGGGUGAGAAUCCCGUAUUUGGUCAUUCCUCCUAGCGUUGUGAUACACUUUCAACGAGUCGGAUUGUUUGGGAAUGCAGUCCAAAAUGGGUGGUAAAUUUCAUCUAAAGCUAAAUAUUGGCGAGAGACCGAUAGCGAACAAGUACCGUGAGGGAAAGAUGAAAAGAACUUGAAAAGAGAGUUAAACAGUACGUGAAAUUGUCAAAAGGGAAGCGUCUGACACCAGUGUUGUUUUUCCGAAAAUCAAUUACGAAUGUUUUAUUUUUGAGGAGUUAUGACUUCAUCGGCUUGCUUCCUUUCUUUACUGAAACUUUCUUAAUGCACUUUUCGGUUAACAAGUCAACAUCAAUUUCUUUUGUUGUAAAAGGGUAUGAGGAAGGUGGCUUUCUUUUCGGAGAAAGUGUUUAUAGCCUUGUAGCCUCUGCAAUCGGAGAGAUUGAGGUCUGCAGCGUAGAUCCUUCGGGGUUAGAUACGUUUGUGCUAAGUUAUAGCUUUUCAUAGACAACUUGUUGACUAUGUUAAGUCUUGUAAUUUACUCGCAGAUGCUAUUUUACCUACGCUUAGGAUGUUGACGAGACUGUCGAUCUC
rnacentral:rRNA from 1 species